UCACUGGGUGUGUGAUGCCUGU
rnacentral:miRNA from 1 species